rnacentral:rRNA from 1 species
GAUCCUGGCUCAGGAUGAACGCUGGCGGCGUGCUUAACACAUGCAAGUCGAACGGGAAACAUUUCAUUGAAGCUUCGGCAGAUUUGGUCUGUUUCUAGUGGCGGACGGGUGAGUAACGCGUGGGUAACCUGCCUUAUACUGGGGGAUAACAGCCAGAAAUGGCUGCUAAUACCGCAUAAGCGCACAGGACCGCAUGGUCCGGUGUGAAAAACUCCGGUGGUAUAAGAUGGACCCGCGUUGGAUUAG